AUUGAACGCUGGCGGCAUGCUUUACACAUGCAAGUCGAACGGUAACAGGCCGCAAGGUGCUGACGAGUGGCGAACGGGUGAGUAAUGCAUCGGAACGUGCCCAGUCGUGGGGGAUAACGCAGCGAAAGCUGCGCUAAUACCGCAUACGAUCUCUGGAUGAAAGCGGGGGCCCGAAAGGCCUCGCGCGAUUGGAGCGGCCGAUGUCAGAUUAGGUAGUUGGUGGGGUAAAGGCGCACCAAGCCAACGAUCUGUAGCUGGUCUGAGAGGACGACCAGCCACACUGGGACUGAGACACGGCCCAGACUCCUACGGGAGGCAGCAGUGGGGAAUUUUGGACAAUGGGCGCAAGCCUGAUCCAGCAAUGCCGCGUGCAGGAAGAAGGCCUUCGGGUUGUAAACUGCUUUUGUACGGAACGAAACGGUCCUGGUUAAUACCUGGGGCUAAUGACGGUACCGUAAGAAUAAGCACCGGCUAACUACGUGCCAUCCGCCGCCGUAACAC
rnacentral:rRNA from 1 species